UACGUAGGGGGCAAGCGUUGUCCGGAUUUAUUGGGCGUAAAGAGCGUGUAGGCGGCCAGGUAGGUCUGCUGUGAAAACUCGAGGCUUAACCUCGAGCUGUCGGCGGAAACCAUCUGGCUAGAGUCCGGAAGAGGAGAAUGGAAUUCCCGGUGUAGCGGUGAAAUGCGCAGAUAUCGGGAAGAACACCCGUGGCGAAGGCGGUUCUCUGGGACGGUACUGACACUGAGGCACGAAAGCGUGGGGAGCAAACAGG
rnacentral:rRNA from 1 species